GGGAAACUGCAGCAUUUGAUAUCCUUUUGGGGAAAGGCUACAAUGGACCCUCCAAAUAUUCUCUGCUUACUGCACAUUUCAUUUUUGUAGAGAUUAUGCCUGAAGCACCGGGUGUUUGAAGUAUCUCAAGCUGAUCUUCAGAACGAUGAGGACCAGGCCUACAGGAAGAUUAUGCCUGAACCAUUUGUCGUUUCUCCUUUGGCUCCGUCUAUUCUUGUCCCAUCUCUUUGCUAGACACUUUUUUAGAUUGCAAGUUUCUGCAUGUACUAGUGCUCGCUAUUCUAAGGAAAUUGCUUGUUCGCAUCGUUAGAGAACGCUAGUUGGUACUUUUACCCAAACCGAAUGUUUCUGAACUUUUUCUGUGGUUGUGCUCAAUUUAUCCCAUGGCUGUAAAAAAAAGUGUAGCACGCCGAAACACAGUAAGAGGAUGUGAUAAGAAAAUUGUUCAGUUGUUUUCUGCUCGUACAGUUUAUGCCCAGUUUCUUCUAUUUAUCUUGUGAUAAUGUGACUUGGAAAGUAUAAAUGUUAUCAUUUCCUUUUAAUUCAACAUUCAAGUCAUCCUUCCUUGCAGAUAACGGAAACCUCCAUAGGUCAAGCACUAUGCCGGGGGUGAUAAAGGAUACUGAGAUAACUACUGAAACUACGGGUCCAUCAAAUCUGGAAAGGUCAAAAACUGAGAGGCGCAAACAAAGUAACCCAGCUGAUGAUCCUGCUAAACAGUUAUUGGAUGAUAAGAUUUCCAUAAGGAAAAAGCUCAAAAUGUUAAAUCGAAUAGCUACAGUGAAGGAUGAUGGAACUGUGGUUGUUAAUGUACCAAGUACACUAGAUGCGACUCCAAUUGACGUUGGAGUAGUGGAUGGCUAUGAGGAUGAUGUAGUUGAAGAAUCAUUUUGUAGUCAGCCGCUCAUCUCUUAACUAGCAUCAGUGAUUCAAGGCCUAGGGGUGUUCCACGAUGGGCAACCUUGUCAGUUCAGUCUAGUGUAAGAUUUAUAUAUGUGGAAACAGCAGAGACCUUGACUCGCAGUUUGCAAACAUGUCUUUGAAACACAAGGAUAUAUUGUUAACUAUGGUACUCAACUUAUUGAUGCACAUGGACAUGAUGACUCUCUAGCGUUUAUGGACCAACCAACCUGUAAUCAUGGACCUUAUUGUCUUGUAGACCAUUUGGUGUUUCGAGUGUUUUGGAGCUUGCCCUUUGUGCAUGUAGAUACAAAUUUGUGUGUUCUGGACCAUCUGAAGUCUCUCAUAGUAAUCAAUAGUCCUUAUCUUUUU